GACUCACUCGCUUAAUGGUAAAGCAACCCCCUUCAUAAGAGUCCUUUUGUAGGCCCCUUAUGAAGGGGUAGAUCUGAGUUCAAUUCUCAGGUGAGUCGCCA
rnacentral:tRNA from 1 species